CCAGAGACGCAAACGUUAAUCAUCUUAAUCAGGCGUAAAGGGUUUGUAGGCAGCUUUAAAAAACUAAAUUAUAAUGGCUAAAGUAAAUUUAGUGAAAAUUAAAGCUAGAAUCUAAUAGAGGUUAUAUUGAAUAAUACUUAGAGUAGGGGUUAAAUCCUUAGAUACUAAGGGGAAUUCUUAGGGCGAAAGCAUUUUUCCACUAAAGAUUGACGCUGAGAAACGAAGGUGAGGAUAGGAAAUAGGAUAUUAAAUUGCGACCUGAAAAGCUUAUUUAAGUAUAGCGGAAUUAAUCCGUCAUAAUAAUCCAUCUUAUUUGAGUUCCACUUAAUAGACUAGCCUGGUAACUAGCUAGGACUAAAGCUUAAGAUUUAUUUAUAAUAUUUAUAAUAUUAGAAUAAAUAGGAACUGUCUUCUAAGGUUAGAGAAAUCGAAUCUAUGUAACUAAAGGUUUUAUUAAUUAGGGUAUUCACGGGUCCUUGGUGAGUAUCAGAUGGACAAAUGGUUAUAAAAUCAAAGUAGGAACCUAAGGAAGACUAUUACGUACUUAAAUGGGAACAGGGAAACUCCUAUAAUCUGCUAUUAAAAAUAAAAUAGCAAGGAAAUUAGUAAUAAUUUCUGAUAGAUUAGAGGAAACAAGACAGCGUAAAAAGCGAAGGCCAUUAUGUAAUGUAGUGGAUAGGCUCAUUAUCUUAUAGAUAUGAAGAUAGCUAAUCUGAAAGGAUGCAGACUUACGUAUGGGUGAUUUUAAAGUAUUAUAUUGGCGUACUAUAAAGGAAAGGAGAUGGCAAACAAGACACUUUUUAAUUUAUGGUUAGAAUGGUUUGUAGGAUUCUGUGAUGCAGAUGCCAACUUUCAAGUAUUCCCUAAAAAAAGAAUCUACCAAACAAAAGAUAAUAAAGUAACAGAAUAUUAUAAUAUCGGUUAUGGUUUUCACAUAGGUUUAAGUAUUAAAGAUCUACCUCUAUUAGAAAAAAUUCAAAAUCAAUUUAAUGGUAUAGGGCAUAUUUAUAGUUAUCCUUCACGUGAUGAAGCAAGAUGGGCUGUAACUAAAAAAACAGAAUUAAAAUAUUUGAUUCAAACUGUUUUUGAAAAACACCCUUUAAUUACGCAACACCAAAGUGAAAGAUACGCAAGACUAAGAUAUGGCUUACUUAACAAUUUUAUUAGAGUAGAAACGAUAGAAGAAUAUAAUCAAUUUUUACUUAAAAAUUUCGUGGCGGCCUGCGGCAAGGAAAUAACUGACUCUUAUUAUACAGAAGGUACUUCUUUUGAUAAUUGGAUAAUAGGUUUUAUUAAUGGGGAAGGUUCUUUUUAUAUUCAUAGUAGGCGCCUACGGCGAGUAUUUAAUAUAGAACAUACUGAUAAAAACGCUCUCGAAUUGAUAAAAAAAAGAUUAGAUUUAACUCCAAAUGUUUUAGAUAAAGGUAAUAGAAAUAAUACUAGAAAAAAUACAUUUUCUUUAACUAUAUCUAGUAAAAAAGACAUAUCUUCAAUUAGAGAACUGUGUGAAAACCCUUCUUUAAAUAAAUUGGAGGGUCAAAAAUUACUACAAUACAAUAAUUGGAAAGUUAACUCUUAAAAUAAAAUUUGAUCUUUGGCUUUUAUAUUAAAGAAUCUCUAUAACUAUUCUAAAGGGUUUGACCCCCUAACGGUUAGCGAUUUCUCUUUUUCUUUCUUUACAAUUAACACCCAAUAUACUAAAAAUACUUUAAAAUUUGCUUGAGCUGUAUGCGAUGAAAGUCGCACGUACAGUUCUUAGGGGGCGAAUUAUUAGUGAUGAUAACACCCCCCAGUUAGAUACCCCGGUACCCCUCUCUGUCAACGAUGAAUGGUAAUUACUAGUAUUAAUUACUAGAGGUAAAGCUAACGCGUUAACCAUUCCGCCUUGUGAGUACGACUGCAAAGUUGAAAACAAAAAAAUUA
rnacentral:rRNA from 1 species